GGUCAGGGUGCUGCCUCCCUAUCCACUGGGAGUCCUUUUGCGUUUCAGAUGCUCCCAGGCUCUCCCGCAGUUUAAAGACUUAACUCAGCGGCUUUCAGGGCCUGUGGUUGAGGGACUCCGAAAGAACUGUUGCUGGUGGACCGGUUCAGGGUCUUGACUUCGCCACACAAAAGAACUUGAGAGCACGUCCAAAGUAAAGCUAAGACCUCUAGUACAGUGUUCAAUGGAACUGGUGAGAAAAGACGUCCUUGCUGUGUUCCUGAUAUGAAGAGGAAAGCAGUCCUUCUCCAUUAAAUGCUGACAACAUGAGCCUCCCGUGGUCGGAACGGGCUUGUGAAGGCGGUGCUGGGGUGCACCAGGGCAGCAGCUACAGGUGAGUAGGCGGGGACAUUUGAAAGGGGCUAAUUUUCUCGUGGUCCUUUAUAGGGGGAUGUUUGUAUGUUAAGACAGCUCUUUCUUCCCUAUACAACUCUGUAGCUGGGGUUGAGUGCAUGUAAACUCAGCUAACAAAAUCUUCUUGCAUUCGGUUUGAGGUCUAUUGCUCUGCAGAAUCCCCAGGCCUGCCACUUUCCUGGCACAUCUUCUCAGCCCUUAGGCUCAGGCUGCAGUCUUUGAUUAGUGGUGCAUGUAUGUGCGACGGGGACAGUUGUCACUGAAAUUACAGACAGCUGAAUGGUGAUUUGAAUUGCAUGAGCAUUAAGGCCUUUCUUAAGAGAGAUAUGCAAAACCCAUGGUUUGAUUCUCUUGAAGCAUCGGGAAGGCCUGUAUAGAUAAAUCCCCCUGACAUCAACAUAGCGGGGACACUCUAAGAACCUAAUUUUAAUGAAUAUACAUUUUGACUUUCCAACUGCAAGAGAAUGAGGGCAGAUUUGUUUAGAUCUUCCUAAUUAAUAGCCCAGGUUGACUGUACUUUUCUGUUUAAUAUAACUGAUUUCAUCUCAUUAAGGGAGAGGUAGAAAUUAGAUGCAUUCUCCACUUCCUGGUAAGAAUAUCUUCUUAUUAUAAGCUGGGCAUAAAAACCCAUCAUGGCAUGCGUACUGGGACUGCUGUGUUCUGGGUGGAGCCACGUUCGGAAGACCUUGUCUGUAAUGAAAUGGGACAUUUUUCUGUACUUAGUUAAUAAUCUUUGGGCAGCAUUUGAUCAUUUGAAAAAAGUCACACCAUUCACUUGAUCAGGAGGCAUCUGCAGGGAAUGCAGGUCGGGCCUGAGUCCUGUUGGCCCAGGAACAGGUAGUUGUGGCGUCAGGCAAUUUUUGUUGUUGUUGUUGAUGUUGUUGUUUUUGAGACAGAGGCUCGCUCUGUCGCCCAGGCUGGAGUGCAGUGGCACUAUCUUGGUUCACUGCAACCUCCGACUCCCUGGUUCAAGCGAUUCUCCUGCCUCAGCCUCCCGAGUAGCUGGAAUUACAGGCACGCACCACCAAGCCCAGAUAAUUUUUGUAUUUUUAGUAGAGACGGGGUUUUACCAUGUUGGCCAGGAUGGUCUUGAUCUUCUGACCUUGUGAUCUGCCCACCUCAGCCUCCCAAAGUGCUGGGAUUACAGGAGUGAGCCAAUGUGCCCGGCCUGAGGUGUUUUUUUAGUCAGGUAAUUGAGGUGUUUCCACCAGGACAAAGCCUCUUGGUGGCUGAGAGGGACCCCACUGAACUCUCUGCUGACCGAUGGGGGAGCAUGCUAAGUGCUUAGGAACAUUAGCACAUACCUUGUGAAACUGAUGUUUUUAUGGUCAAAAAGGGUUGGAUAUCAGCACUUCCAUAAGAUACAGUGGACAUUGGGACGCACAUUUACUCCCAGUGACCCCCCACUCUGUUCCUUGGUGCUCUGUGUCCCCACCUCAGCUGCUCUGGGCUGUGGCUUUCUGCUCAGCAGUUCUUGUUUUGUUACUGCUGUUGUUGCCUUGGGGUGAGAAAGGAUUUGUAUCCGCACACAGAGGAAGAUGAAAAAUGUCAUAUUUCUUUAUUUCGUAAAAGACUGAAUUAAAUACGACUCUCAAGCAAUAUCUUGGCAGGCUGGUGGGAAAUUCAAUCUCAGACAUUUUGGACUUCCUUGUGCCUUCCUUUUGGGGCACAGACAUUCUGGAGGUUUUGGUGAGUUCGAGGGUGGCUGUGCUGGUCUCCAUCUCUGGUGCUCACUACUGAUGACCUUGUGCAUGCUGUAUCAUUAUUUCGAAAGAUGAUUUUAUCUCAGUGUUUUGAAUAAACAUUUUCCACUGUGCUCCAAGGGCCUCCCAGUGGACUGAUGGGUAUUAGUUCCCAGAUAUGGGUCUUUGUGGAGGUUGUAGGCCCCGUGAGGCAGGGGACCACACCUGUCUUAAUCACUGCUUCACCUCCAGAGCCCGGAACAGCGCCUGGUUCAUAGUGUCCAAUAAUUAUUGAGUGAUUGAUUUAAACGGAAAAAGUCUCAGGGGUAACUGAAUCAGGAAGUUGAGGAUUUUAGGAGUAAUCUGGAUACAGUUCCUUCUGGACUAACAGACAACUUAGGUAGAGAAAACAUUGUUGAAAUAUACUUACAUUAUUCAGCAGAAAGAGACCUGAGGAAUAAUAAAACACUAGAAAGGAAAUCACUAAGGAAUUAUCAGUAGACUUUCUGCAAGCAGUACAUUUGUAUAAUUUAUUACUGGAUAUAUAACAAUAUGAUCUCUUUUAAAAUAUACUUAUUUCAAUAUAACAUACAUAAAUGUACAUAAAUAAUACUUUGUGUAGUUAAUGAGUCUUUACCUACUCAAAGGAAGAAAGAGAAGGUUAUCAGCAUCUAGAAAGCACACUCCUGCCCCCUCCCAAUUACAGCCUUCUCAAAAUCUAAUCCCUAUCAGAGGGUCUAUCAUUAGGAAUUAAUUCUGAUUGUUGAACUUUAUACCCAAUGUGUACAGAGUGUGCUUUCUUUUGUGUUGGACUUCCUUCACUCAUCGUUAUGUGUGGGAGAUGCACCCAUGUUGUGUGUGGUUGUAGUGUAUUCAUUUUCAUUGCAAUGUAAUAUUCCACUGAAGAAGAAGUCGUGAUUUAUGCAUUAUACUGUUGAGGGCCGUUUGGGAUGCCUACAAUAAAUAACAGUGCUAUAACAUCCUUGUUCCUGUUUCUGGUGGAUUCAUGCAAACAUUUCUAUUGAGUGGAAUUCUAUUUAGGAGUGGAAUUACUGGCUGACUUAGAUCACAUUCCCCAGAAGCAAGAGUCUGAGAUGGGUCUUACUGUGCAAGUGAUUUACAGAAAGGGUGCUCUCAGGAGGAAGCUGGGAGGAAGCAAGGGAAGGAGGAGACAGCCUGGGAGAAGCUAUACCAUAUAUGGGUUCGGGUAGAGUCCAGGGCAGCCUGAUGCCAUAGGGAGCUCUGGGGGGUGACCAGCACCACAGCAUUGAUCCUCUGAGGGCUUUGGUAUCUUUUCAUCAGCCAGACAUUGGCUGGGUGUCAUCCCAGAGGGGUGGGGAUAACAUUGUGAAGCAUCUGUAUGUGUGAUGGCUCCCAUCAGCAAAAUCACUCUCUGGAAAAGGUGUGGGACCUCAGCAGCUAACACUCUGAGGAGCUGGGACAUCGGUGCCCUGGCUCAUAAAAUGGCCUGGGUGGGUCACCAAGCAUGUCUGCUACACUAAGGCAGCAAGGAGCCAAUGGCCAGUAUUAGCAGGCAUUGCUAGUGUUUGUAUGGAUAGGAAUACCUCGAGCAUCGUAGGAGGGUUUCUGUUGUUCCAGCUUCUCACCAACACUAGGUAUUAUCUGAUUUUUCAUUUUAGCCAUUUUUUCCAUUGUGCUCAUUUGGCUAAUAAGAUACAGUGGUAUCUUGUUGUGACUUUAAUUUGCAUUUUCCCGAUGACUAAUAAGGCUCCCUUUCCUUAUGUUUAUUGCUGUGUGUUUAUAUUAUUUUAAGAAGUGUCUCAAGAACUCUACAAUUACGUCGUCUUUAAUUGGGUCGUCUGCCUUUUUCUUAUUGUGUGGGUUAAUUACCUAUUCUGGACUGUAGUCCUCAUCAGAUAUUUGCUUUAGAAAUGCCUUCUCCAUCACUACGGUUGUCCUUUUUAAUCUUGUAACAUAUCCUUUGCUCAACAGAAGUUCUUAAUUUUAAUGAAAUCCAGUGUCAUCUUUUUCCUUUUAUGGUUUGUGCCAUUUGCCCUAUUUAAGGAAUCUUUGUCUGCCCCAA
ensembl:lncRNA MIR646HG MIR646 host gene